AUAUAUACUAGAAAAAAGCUCAAGUGUAGUAUCUGUUCUUAUCAGUUUAAUAUCUGAUACGCGGGUCAUCGGUCCACAUGAUAUUAAAUGAAUUUUUAAAGGGGGAGCGUCCACCACAGUGGCUUGCUAUCUGGGCUCUCGCGCGUCGCCCAAGUGUUGCACUACAGCUCGGGCCUGGCGCACCCCAC
rnacentral:snRNA from 2 species